AUUGAACGCUGGCGGCAUGCUUUACACAUGCAAGUCGAACGGUAACAGGUUAAGCUGACGAGUGGCGAACGGGUGAGUAAUGCAUCGGAACGUGCCCGAUGGUGGGGGAUAACACUUCGAAAGAAGCGCUAAUACCGCAUACGAUCUGAGGAUGAAAGCGGGGGACCGUAAGGCCUCGUGCGAUCGGAGCGGCCGAUGUCAGAUUAGGUAGUUGGUGGGGUAAAGGCUCACCAAGCCGACGAUCUGUAGCUGGUCUGAGAGGACGACCAGCCACACUGGGACUGAGACACGGCCCAGACUCCUACGGGAGGCAGCAGUGGGGAAUUUUGGACAAUGGGCGCAAGCCUGAUCCAGCAAUGCCGCGUGCAGGAAGAAGGCCUUCGGGUUGUAAACUGCUUUUGUACGGAGCGAAAAGGCUCCCUCUAAUACAGGGGGCUCAUGACGGUACCGUAAGAAUAAGCACCGGCUAACUACGUGCCAGCAGCCGCGGUAA
rnacentral:rRNA from 1 species